rnacentral:misc_RNA from 1 species
GAUGAAGAACGUAGCGAAAUGCGAUAAGUAGUGUGAAUUGCAGAAUUCAGUGAAUCAUUGAAUCUUUGAACGCACAUUGCGCCCUUUGGUAUUCCAAAGGGCAUGCCUGUUCGAGCGUCAUUUGUACCCUCAAGCUUUGCUUGGUGUUGAGCGUCUUGUCUCUAGCUUUGCUGGAGACUCGCCUUAAAGUAAUUGGCAGCCGGCCUACUGGUUUCGGAGCGCAGCACAAGUCGCACUCUCUAUCAGCAAAGGUCUAGCAUCCAUUAAGCCUUUUUUUUCAACUUUUGACCUCGGAUCAGGUAGGGAUACCCGCUGAACUUAAGCAUAUCAAUAAGCGGAGGA